rnacentral:rRNA from 1 species
AGUCGAGGGGUAUGGCAGCAAUGCCAGAGACCGGCGCACGGGUGCGUAACGCGUAUGCAAUCUACCUUUCACAGAGGGAUAGCCCAGAGAAAUUUGGAUUAAUACCUCAUGGUAUUAUGGAGUGGCAUCACUUUAUAAUUAAAGUCACAACGGUGAAAGAUGAGCAUGCGUCCCAUUAGCUAGUUGGUAGGGUAACGGCCUACCAAGGCGACGAUGGGUAGGGGUCCUGAGAGGGAGAUCCCCCACACUGGUACUGAGACACGGACCAGACUCCUACGGGAGGCAGCAGUGAGGAAUAUUGGUCAAUGGGCGCGAGCCUGAACCAGCCAUGCCGCGUGCAGGAUGACGGUCCUAUGGAUUGUAAACUGCUUUUGUACGGGAAGAAACACUGCUUCGUGAAGCAGCUUGACGGUACCGUAAGAAUAAGGAUCGGCUAACUCCGUGCCAGCAGCCGCGGUAAUACGGAGGAUCCAAGCGUUAUCCGGAAUCAUUGGGUUUAAAGGGUCCGUAGGCGGUUUUGUAAGUCAGUGGUGAAAGCCCAUCGCUCAACGGUGGAACGGCCAUUGAUACUGCAAGACUUGAAUUAUUGGGAAGUAACUAGAAUAUGUAGUGUAGCGGUGAAAUGCUUAGAGAUUACAUGGAAUACCAAUUGCGAAGGCAGGUUACUACCAAUUGAUUGACGCUGAUGGAC